rnacentral:rRNA from 1 species
AGCGAACGCUGGCGGCAGGCCUAACACAUGCAAGUCGAACGAACUCUUCGGAGUUAGUGGCGGACGGGUGAGUAACACGUGGGAACGUGCCUUUUGGUUCGGAAUAACUCAGGGAAACUUGUGCUAAUACCGAAUGUGCCCUUCGGGGGAAAGAUUUAUCGCCAUUAGAGCGGCCCGCGUCUGAUUAGCUAGUUGGCGAGGUAACGGCUCACCAAGGCGACGAUCAGUAGCUGGUCUGAGAGGAUGACCAGCCACACUGGGACUGAGACACGGCCCAGACUCCUACGGGAGGCAGCAGUGGGGAAUCGUGCGCAAUGGGCGAAAGCCUGACGCAGCCAUGCCGCGUGAAUGAUGAAGGUCUUAGGAUUGUAAAAUUCUUUCACCGGGGACGAUAAUGACGGUACCCGGAGAAGAAGCCCCGGCUAACUUCGUG